ACCUGGUGGAAGACAGGGCCAACCCAGGGGAGCUCAGGUGUAUGCAAUGUACCUGAAUGACCACAAGGGGCACAGCCAGGAUCCACCCUUUCCUAGACCUCGUUAAAGGAUUGGUAGUGGAAGCAAGGCUAUCUUGCUUCAGAUUCCUGGGUACCUGAGGCCUCCUGAAGAACAGCCAGCUCUUCUAAGAAGUCAACAUCUGUAUGAAUUUCUCAAGUUUCUCAACUGUAUGAGAAAUGAGGCAGUGACAACUUGUGAGUGCAUUCAGAAAAAACAGAUUUAACUUACUUAUGUAUGAGCGUGAAGGGAGAGCAGUGGAGAGAAACCAAAAGCUAAAGCUUGGCAAGAGAAGUGGCCUUAGUACAAGUAUCCUCUGAGGACAUGAGUAAGGCAAAUGGGAAGCCAGAGGAAAGCAGUAGUGAAAACUGUGAGACAUGAGCUUUAUGGGUGAAUAAGAAAGAUUGAAUUUAGUGAUUAUAGCUUUCCCUUUUCUGUGUUUGUAGGCUGCCCUUGCAUGUUCCUUAGUUCAACUAUACAGAAAAAUAUCAAUGAGUGGGGGUUUACAGAAGCUGCUGUGACAGUUUCUGGUCCUGGUUGCUCUUUUUCUGUGAGGUUGUGAAUGGUUUUGGUUAGAGUCAUAAGAGAUGCUUAAAUUUUCAAAGCUCUGCAAAGUAAACAUAUAUAGCUGGUAGCAGCAUUUGUAAAUUAAAGAUUACUCUAAUCUUCAGUGACAGACUUAUGAAAUAUUGCUUUAAAUUCUGCUUCAUGCUGCAAAGUCAACUGAGUUUAUUUUGGAGACAAAAGCAAUUUAAGAAAACCCAUAGAUUGCUUUGGCCACCAAAGGGUAUAAAUUAUCCCUAACUAAUUUCUGUCAGUAGAGUAUGUUGAGCUAUUUAGAUAAAGCAUGCUUUUUGACAUUUAUCACAGAACGAUACCUUCUUACAGACUGUUAGUCACAGAAGGGGGACAUGGGAUGAAUCAUUGAGGGGCUGGUAAUCUUUUUGCUGACACAAACGAUAUUGGUUAUGGAUGAAGAAAUUAGCUCACUUUUUUCCCUCUAGUAUGGUACAGUAGUAUGUAAUCAAACAGAAGUACAUUCAAAUUCUAAUGGUAAAAAUACUGUAAACACAUAAAAACGUAUCUGGAUGUGGCAGAUGCUGUUACUAAAUAUGUAUUUACUAGGAUACAGAAAAAAAAAUCCUUCUGAGGUAGAAGCAAGAAAUCUGGUGCUUAAGUUAAAUGUUUAGCAAUGCAACUUGCCCCAAAUUCUUCGGAAGUAAACAGUUUUUGAACCCCCAAUCACAGCAUAAUGCUAUUUGAUACUUUUUUUUGGGGGGGGGGGGUAGAUUGCAAUUUCCACAAUUAUUUCUUCUUUCUCGUACAGAUAUAAUUAUUAUCCUACAGCCUAACUUUACUUUAUUCCCUAUAUUAAAUUCAUAUAUAUCAUCAACUAAUGUACAGCUCUGGCAGGUAUCAGUAGUAUACACUGCUGUGCAUAUGCCAAGAAAUCUGUGAGUGAACCUGUCCUGGAGAUGUGCACUGUGGGCUUUCCAUGAACCCUCACAUUUCAUACCCCACUACUGGGACUGCCUGCCAGGAAUGUGCCCCUUGCCCUCGCUGAAGGAGAGAAUCCGUUUGCAGAUUCAUCCCUCUCACCCCAGAUCAUCUGGAACAGCUUUCUGGAACAGGUGCAUGCCAUCAGCAUCCUAUAGGGCCUAUCUGUAUCUGUCCAAAUGUUCUGGCAGGAGACAAUAGCCAAUGUUGAUUUGCUGCUGUUUGGGAUGAGGAAAGAAAACUGAUGUGGUUAGCAAACUGUUAACAAGCUGUUAGCAAACGAAUCUUUUUUUUCUUUGUUAAAUGUAAGCAUGCACCAUAUUCUUUCUCUUAAACUGCAUUAUUUUAGGUUUGAAAUGGAAAAAGAAAUAAAA
ensembl:lncRNA